rnacentral:rRNA from 1 species
AUUGAACGCUGGCGGCAGGCCUAACACAUGCAAGUCGAACGGCAGCACAGAAGAGCUUGCUCUUUGGGUGGCGAGUGGCGGACGGGUGAGUAAUGUCUGGGAAACUGCCCGAUGGAGGGGGAUAACUACUGGAAACGGUAGCUAAUACCGCAUAACGUCGCAAGACCAAAGAGGGGGACCUUCGGGCAUGACACCAUCGGAUGUGCCCAGAUGGGAUUAGCGAGUAGGUGGGGUAAUGGCUCACCUAGGCGACGAUGCCUAGCUGGUCUGAGAGGAUGACCAGCCACACUGGAACUGAGACACGGUCCAGACUCCUACGGGAGGCAGCAGUGGGGAAUAUUGCACAAUGGGCGCAAGCCUGAUGCAGCCAUGCCGCGUGUAUGAAGAAGGCCUUCGGGUUGUAAAGUACUUUCAGCGGGGAGGAAGGCGGUGAGGUUAAUAACCUCGCCGAUUGACGUUACCCGCAGAAGAAGCACCGGCUAACUCCGUGCCAGCAGCCGCCGUAA